rnacentral:rRNA from 1 species
GAGUUUGAGCCUGGAUCUCGAUGACGCUAUCGGCUCGCUUAAUGCAUGCAAGUCCAAGGAUGAGGCCCCUAUUGGUGUACAUCAGACCGGGACCCUGGUGAGACACGUAGGUGGCCUGCUCCCCUGAAACGGAUACCGGCCGGAACCGGUCGCUUGACCUCAUAUGGUCUGACCUUCGGGAUAAGGUGAGAGGAAAAGCUUCGGUGCUCGGGGAUGGGCCUGCGGGUUUUAGCUGUCACCUGAAGUGUGGCUCCAGCGUGGCCCGAAUGACAAGGGGGGCGGAAAGGAGGAUCCCCCCCCCGGGUCCUGAAACUCGGACCAAACUCCUCCGGAAGGCAGCACUGAGGAAUAUUGGGCAAUGGACGCAAGUCUGACCCUCCCUUGCCGCGUGAAGGAUGACUGCCCUAAGGGUUGUAAACUGCUUUUGUUUGGGAACAAACCCCCCAUCGUGAUCAGGGCUGACGGUACCCUACGAAUAAGCAUCGGCUAACUCCGUGCCAUCAGCCGCGGUAAUACGGAGGAUGCAAGCGUUAUCCCGAUUCCUUGGGUUUAACGGGUGCGCAGCCAGAAUAUUAAGUCACUGGUGAAAUCUCGCACCUUACCUGUAGAACUGCCAUUGAUACUGAUGUGCUUGAAUAUAGUUGACGUGGGCACAAUGUGUAAUGUAGCGGUGAAAUGCUUACAUAUUACACAUAACACCAUGUGCGAACGCAGCUCACUAGCCUAUUAUCGACGCUGAGGCACGAAAGCGU